rnacentral:rRNA from 1 species
CCUACGGGUGGCAGCAGUGAGGAAUAUUGGUCAAUGGGCGGAAGCCUGAACCAGCCAAGUAGCGUGAGGGAUGAAGGUACAGAGUAUCGUAAACCUCUUUUGUCAGGGAACAAAGGCGGGGACGCGUCCCCGGAUGAGUGUACCUGAAGAAAAAGCAUCGGCUAACUCCGUGCCAGCAGCCGCGGUAAUACGGAGGAUGCGAGCGUUAUCCGGAUUUAUUGGGUUUAAAGGGUGCGCAGGCGGUCUGUUAAGUCAGCGGUCAAAGCCCGGGGCUCAACCCCGGCCCGCCGUUGAAACUGGCAGUCUCGAGUUGGAGAGAAGUAUGCGGAAUGCGCGGUGUAGCGGUGAAAUGCAUAGAUAUCGCGCAGAACUCCGAUUGCGAAGGCAGCAUGCCGGCUCCACACUGACGCUGAGGCACGAAAGCGUGGGUAUCGAACAGGAUUAGAUACCCUAGUAGUC